ACCCAUCUGACGAGUCUCGAAUAGAGCGAAACGCGUGUCUUGGAU
rnacentral:hammerhead_ribozyme from 1 species